rnacentral:tRNA from 1 species
UCCUAGUGGCUCAGACAGUAAAGAAUCUGCUUGCAAUGCAGGAGACCCAGGUUCAAUCCCUGGGUUGGGAA